rnacentral:rRNA from 1 species
AUUGAACGCUGGCGGCAGGCCUAACACAUGCAAGUCGAACGAGCGGCGGACGGGUGAGUAAUGUCUGGGAAACUGCCUGAUGUAGGGGGAGAACACCUGGAGACGGUAUAUAAUACCGCACACCAUCAGAUGUGCCCCGGUGGGAUUAGCUAGUAGGUGGGGUAACGGCUCACCUAGGCGACGAUCCCUAGCUGGUCUGAGAGGAUGACCAGCCACACGGGAACUGAGACACGGUCCAGACUCCUACGGGAGGCAGCAGUGGGGAAUAUUGCACAAUGGGCGCAAGCCUGAUGCAGCCAUGCCGCGUGUGUGAAGAAGGCCUUCGGGUUGUAAAGCACUUUCAGCGGGGAGGCGUUACCCGCAGAAGAAGCACCGGCUAACUCCGUGCCAGCAGCCGCGGUAAUAC